rnacentral:misc_RNA from 1 species
UCCGAGUUGACCCCGGCAGUCUCCUAUGAGUUCCCACCAUUACGUGCUGGCAACAAAUCACAGGGGUUGCGCUCGUUGCGGGACUUAACCCAACAUCUCACGACACGAGCUGACGACGGCCAUGCAGCACCUGUGCAAAGCGGGUAUUGCUACCCUAUCCGGCUUUCACCGGAGACACAGUGCAUGUCAAACCCAGGUAAGGUUCUUCGCGUUGCAUCGAAUUAAGCCACAUACUCCACCGCUUGUGCGGGUCCCCGUCAAUUUCUUUGAGUUUUAAUCUUGCGACCGUACUUCCCAGGCGGCACGUUUAACGCGUUAGCUCCGGCACGGAGGGGGUCGAAUCCCCCCACACCAAACGUGCACCGUUUACUGCCAGGACUAC